GUGGAACUCCUUCAUGACCUACUUUGAGUUUAAAAUAACCUUAUUAGUAACACAGUAAUGAUGCUUGGCCUUCCUACAUACGAUUUGUCUUCAAGGCAUUGCACCAGCUUUAAGUAAUCUUCACAGUGAAUCUGAGAGGCAGGGGCUCUUCCAGGUAAUGUGACAUAAUGAAGCAGGCAAGGAUCACGGCUAGAAGCCCAGGAGAGCAUCUCCAAGUUCUUACGGGUGCCAAAAUACUUGUGAAUCUGGACUAAGUCUUGAACAGAACCUCAUCCUACAUUCUGAUCCUGCCUGAAGGAUGCUUGAGAGGGAAGAAGCUAGAGGAGCAGC